rnacentral:rRNA from 1 species
AGAGUUUGAUUCUGGCUCAGGACGAACGCUGGCGGCGUGCUUAACACAUGCAAGUCGAACGAUGAAGCCUAGCUUGCUAGGUGGAUUAGUGGCGAACGGGUGAGUAAUACGUGAGUGACCUACCUUUGACUCUGGGAUAAGCCUGGGAAACUGGGUCUAAUACCGGAUACGACCAAUCUCCGCAUGGGGUGUUGGUGGAAAGCGUUAUGGAGUGGUUUUAGAUGGGCUCACGGCCUAUCAGCUUGUUGGUGAGGUAAUGGCUUACCAAGGCGACGACGGGUAGCCGGCCUGAGAGGGUGACCGGCCACACUGGGACUGAGACACGGCCCAGACUCCUACGGGAGGCAGCAGUGGGGAAUAUUGCACAAUGGGCGCAAGCCUGAUGCAGCGACGCCGCGUGAGGGAUGGAGGCCUUCGGGUUGUAAACCUCUUUCGCCAGUGAAGCAGGCCUGCUCCUUGUGGGUGGGUUGACGGUAGCUGGAUAAGAAGCGCCGGCUAACUACGUGCCAGCAGCCGCGGUAAUACGUAGGGCGCGAGCGUUGUCCGGAAUUAUUGGGCGUAAAGAGCUUGUAGGCGGUUGGUCGCGUCUGCUGUGAAAGGCUGGGGCUUAACCCUGGUUUUGCAGUGGGUACGGGCUAACUAGAGUGCAGUAGGGGAGACUGGAAUUCCUGGUGUAGCGGUGGAAUGCGCAGAUAUCAGGAGGAACACCGAUGGCGAAGGCAGGUCUCUGGGCUGUAACUGACGCUGAGAAGCGAAAGCAUGGGGAGCGAACAGGAUUAGAUACCCUGGUAGUCCAUGCCGUAAACGUUGGGCACUAGGUGUGGGGGACAUUCCACGUUUUCCGCGCCGUAGCUAACGCAUUAAGUGCCCCGCCUGGGGAGUACGGCCGCAAGGCUAAAACUCAAAGGAAUUGACGGGGGCCCGCACAAGCGGCGGAGCAUGCGGAUUAAUUCGAUGCAACGCGAAGAACCUUACCAAGGCUUGACAUAUACUGGACUGCGUCAGAGAUGGCGUUUCCCUUCGGGGCUGGUAUACAGGUGGUGCAUGGUUGUCGUCAGCUCGUGUCGUGAGAUGUUGGGUUAAGUCCCGCAACGAGCGCAACCCUUGUCCCGUGUUGCCAGCACGUUGUGGUGGGGACUCGCGGGAGACUGCCGGGGUCAACUCGGAGGAAGGUGGGGAUGACGUCAAAUCAUCAUGCCCCUUAUGUCUUGGGCUUCACGCAUGCUACAAUGGCCGGUACAGAGGGUUGCGAUACUGUGAGGUGGAGCUAAUCCCUAAAAGCCGGUCUCAGUUCGGAUUGGGGUCUGCAACUCGACCCCAUGAAGUCGGAGUCGCUAGUAAUCGCAGAUCAGCAACGCUGCGGUGAAUACGUUCCCGGGCCUUGUACACACCGCCCGUCAAGUCACGAAAGUUGGUAACACCCGAAGCCGGUGGCCUAACCCUGGUGGGGGGAGCCGUCGAAGGUGGGACUGGCGAUUGGGACUAAGUCGUAACAAGGUAGCCGUACCGGAAGGUGCGGCUG